AGGGCUAUAGCUCAGUUAGGUAGAGCACCUCAUAAUAAAAAGUUUGAUCUGUUUUACCG
rnacentral:tRNA from 1 species